AUGAUUAAUCAUUUUGAUAUGACAUCUAAACUUGGUGAUCGUUCAUCAAGGUUGGCAUGGUUUAAUGAUGAGCAUUGCCAAUAUUUUGUUACGAUUAAGAGCUUCACUUAUAUGUGCAAACUGAGCUGCAAUAUUUUCAUGCCUUUCACUUCUUGUGUUAAUAUAUUGGCAUUAUAUUUCAUGACUUUUGAAGUGUGCUCUUAUAUAGUUGUGUCACAUGUGCCACAACCGAGAUCAGUAAAAAUGGAUGACAUAUACAUAUAUAGCAUGUACACCUUGUCUCUUUUGUUAGCCAUAUUUCAGAUUAAGCAACGCCGAGGACGGCUUUGUUUUCAAAAUGGGGAGGAUGAUAAGGACAUGGCUAGCACAGUUACACCCACAACCCCUGCUACUAUACCUAUUGGACCAAUUACUAGAGCUCGCGCAUGCCAAUUAAAUUAUCAGGCACUUUCGUUUCUUAGUAAUGUUUCUAAUGUUCAUGAGAAUGUGAUGCUGCCUAACUUAGAUAUAUUUGUGUUGGUUACACUUGAAGCACCUAGUAUGGACAAGAAGAAUGAACACUGGAGCACGAUCAAGCACUAUGAAGCCGCGUGCGAAGGGAACAAGAACGGAGUUUUCGGAGGAGAUUUCCGCACUUUGAAGCCACCAUGA
rnacentral:rRNA from 1 species